rnacentral:lncRNA from 1 species
AUGGCCUGGGUCGGUGCCACCUGCCUGACACAGGAGCGGCCCCGGCCUGUCUCCCCAACUCGAGGUCCGCCAGGCGCACGCCAGGAGGAUACUGUCCUGCGCUCUGCUCGGUCGUGGGGAAGAAUCACCCGCCGGCUUGAGUGGGGACACCGGCCCCGCGGUCCCGGGAGAUUCCAGGAGCACAUGCAGGCUGCGCACCAGCACCGCGAGGGGCGCCGUCCCCGACCCUGUGCCAUUCCACAGGACGGCGACACUCGGGCCGGAGGGCGGGUGACCCGGGGGGGGGCGGCACCCGGGGUGCCCAACAGAAUCAGGACCCAAAACUUCCCGACGGCGGGCGCCUCUCGGCCACGGGGCGUCUUCGGAGACGAGCGCAGGCCCGGCUGCGGACAGUGGUCCCCGGAAGGGCCGCCGAGGCCGCGGGGGAGGAAGGGGCGCCCAGCCGCAGGUCCCGGGGGCAGGGGCACCCGGAGGGGAGCCCCGGGACGCGGAGCUGGUCCCCCAGGACUGCGCUGCCCUCCUGUGUAUGGGAGGAGGGGACAAUCGUCAGCAGGCUCCACGCCCUGCGCAGCCCCACGACCCCUGACAUCACGACCCGAGGCCGCCAGGCGCCCCAGCUCUCGGCGGUCAGCAGUGCCCUCAGUGGCUGGUCCCCCCACCGGGCCUGGGCCCCCCCCGCCAGGUCCUACCCAUGCACCCCAGGGCGCUUCCGCGGACACCAGGGCCUUUGCACUCGCUCCCCUGCCGCCGACGCCCCGGCCCUCCGUGGCCCGCGUCCCUCGCUCCGGCGAAGCACACGCGUCACCCGGUCACCUCAGGAAAGGGCCGCACAGCCCCGCAUGUCCCACCGCGUCCCGCUCGUGCCCACUGCCUUCCUGCCACGGACCGUCCGCCCUCAUCGGGCCCCCGAGUGGGGCACUGUCCCCGGCCAGGCCACUGCGGAUGACGGCGUCCCACACCACGUGCCCGGGGCGGCCGCGGUCACACAGCGAGUGGGGUGCGGGCCAGAGCGGGGACCGGCGGCUGGCGGUGGGGACGCGGGGCUCUGGGGCCGCCCGGGGACAGGCAGGCCUCACACCCGAGUGUCUGUCACCCGAUGCCGCGGGGGAGGGACGCAGCCCCUGUGCCUCCAGGGCCCCUCACGGCUCUGGCGCGUCUCCACCGCCCUCCGUCAUUCUGUUCAUUUAA